UACGUAGGGUGCAAGCGUUUGUCCGGAAUUAUUGGGCGUAAAGAGCUUGUAGGCGGUUUGUCGCGUCUGCUGUGAAAUUUCGGGGCUCAACCCCGAACUGCAGUGGGUACGGGCAGACUAGAGUGUGGUAGGGGAGACUGGAAUUCUGGUGUAGCGGUGAAAUGCGCAGAUAUCAGGAGGAACACCGAUGGCGAAGGCAGGUCUCUGGGCCAUAACUGACGCUGAGAAGCGAAAGCAUGGGGAGCGAACAGG
rnacentral:rRNA from 1 species